rnacentral:rRNA from 1 species
AUUGAACGCUGGCGGCAGGCUUAACACAUGCAAGUCGAGCGGGGUGAUGGUGCUUGCACUAUCACUUAGCGGCGGACGGGUGAGUAAUGCUUAGGAAUCUGCCUAUUAGUGGGGGACAACAUCUCGAAAGGGAUGCUAAUACCGCAUACGUCCUACGGGAGAAAGCAGGGGAUCACUUGUGACCUUGCGCUAAUAGAUGAGCCUAAGUCGGAUUAGCUAGUUGGUGGGCUAAAGGCCUACCAAGGCGACGAUCUGUAGCGGGUCUGAGAGGGUGAUCCGCCACACGGUGACUGAGACACCGCCCAGACUCCUACGGGAAGCAGCAAUGGGGAAUAUUGGACAAUGGGGGGAACCCUGCUCCAGCCAUGCCGCGUGUGUGAAGAAGGCCUUAUGGUUGUAAAGCACUUUAAGCGAGGAGGAGGCUCUUUUGGUUAAUACCCAAGAUGAGUGGACGUUACUCGCAGAAUAAGCACCGGCUAACUCUGUGCCAGCCGCCGCAGUAA